GGGGAUUUAGCUCAGCGGCAUAAGCACCUACCUUGCAAGCAGGCGGUCAAUCCCCG
rnacentral:tRNA from 1 species